UUUUAAAUAUAUAUACCUCUGUCUCUGUCUCUCUACCUCUACCUCUGUCUCUCUCCUGUUGAUUCUGUUUCUCUGGAGAGCCCUGACUAAUAUAUAAGCCUAGUCUUUUAUUGCCUUACUUUUGUCUCAUUUCAGGUUUUUCAGAGUGCUCCUAAUCUCUGAGAACUUCUGCAUUACUGGCUUAAUUCUCUGCAUUGACGCAGUCUGUCAUGAAAUGGCUAUCUUCAUGACAAACCAAGCAAAAGGAGAGGUGCUUGGGUUUUCAUAAACUUGGCAGCUGUUUUGGAAACAUUUUACUCUAAGGCUAGGCACCACUGUUUGUAUUCUUAUUUUGCAUUUGGGGUUUCUUUCUCCUAAGUUCUCUCUCCAUAUAUUCUCCUGGCCUGGAAGGCAUGUGUGCCUGUUUGACAGUGUCCUGGAAAUUCUUUUCUAGACGGGGAGUGCAUGUUGAAGGUGCUCACACGUGGUUUCCUAAAAUCCUGCAAAGUGGCAUUAGGACUUUUAAACUCUUAGGAUAAUUUCCAAACUAUAGAGUCAUCAUGUAUAGAUUUUCAGAGAACAACUGCCAAAAAUAAAGAUUUUAGAUUUAGAAUUGUUGACAUAAGCCUUUUUUUUUUUGAGUUGGAGUCUCACUCUCUUGGCCAGUCUGGAGUGUAGUGGUGCAAUCUCAGCCCACUGCAACCUCCAUCUCCCCAGUUCAGGCAAUUCUCCUGCCUCAGCCUCCCGAGUUGCUGGGACUACAGGCACGUGCCACCACACCUGGCUGAUUUUUUGUAGUUUUAUUAGAGACAGAGUUUUACCAUGUCUCUCAGGCUGGUCUUGAACUCCUGAGCACAGGCAAUCUGCCUACCUUGGCCUCCCAGAGUGCUAGGAUUGCAAGUGU
rnacentral:lncRNA from 10 species